UCUCCAAAAGUAAAAUGGGAUUCACUGUCACUCCAGAUUUUCAUGAUCGGUAGAUAUUUUGCAUUCUCCAUAAUAUAACUUGCAAAUUGAAUCUAACCAUGUACUUAGAGAAAGUCAGAUUUUACAUCUAACCAUGUAAAACUCUAACCUAAAACUCAGAAAGUUGAGAAGGUCAGAGCACUGUUAAAAAACCAUAGCAUUGCACCUCCAAAUUUCCCACACUACACUGAAAGUUGUCUCAUAUUGGGCCUGUUUUAGAAGGCUGCCCACUUCCUUUAGCUUUUUAUUUAUCUCUGGUUUACUUUCUCCGCACAACACUUUUUUCUUUUUGUUUUUGCUUCUUCUCUGGAAUAUUCAAGACUGACGAGAGGGGUUUUUCCCUGCACCAAUAUACUGUUCAUAUUUCUUCUUGCACGACCAGAACUCUUGGAGGUGCAGGGGAUCACUCCUAGUUUGCAUAUGAACAUGAACGACGACGGCAGAUACAAUUUCGCAAUGCAAUUCAAAACCACUCCCAAAGAAAAUAUUAUUUUUUGCUUCCAUUUUGUGGUUCCGUGGUGACCCGGCGUUCUGGUGGUGAUCCCAACGUGUUGGCAGUGGUCUCGAACAUUGGUGAUAGGUGUUGUGGUUCGUGAGAGGAAAAAGAUGGUGAAGCCGACAUUCGAGAUAAGCACCUGAGGUUGAGGAACAACGUUCCAAAUGCAGUUAAGUUAAGGACUCGUCCGUCUUCUAACGCCAGUUAAAAAUCAAACUUCGAAUUACGGCAGAACUUUAAUCAAUGUUCGAAUGUCGGCGAGCUCUUAAUUGCAUUUCAAAGACAGAUUAAGAGUUCAUCGUAUUUAGAAAGCUGGUUAAAGUUCUACCAUAAUUCGAGAUGCGGUCACCCUUUUUAUUUCUUUUUUAGAUUUUACUUUUAUAUUUUUUUAUUUUGUUUGUUUAAUUAUUAUGAGUUUUUUUUAAUUUAUAAUAUUUAUAUUAUAUAGUUAUUUUUAGUAUU